AGGACGAACGCUGGCGGCGUGCUUAACACAUGCAAGUCGAACGGACACUUUCGGGUGUUAGUGGCGAACGGGUGAGUAACACGUGGGCAACCUGCCCCUAGCUCUGGGAUAACUCCGGGAAACCGGGGCUAAUACUGGAUAUGACCUUCUCACGCAUGUGGGUUGGUGGAAAGUUUUUCGGCUAGGGAUGGGCCCGCGGCCUAUCAGCUUGUUGGUGGGGUGAUGGCCUACCAAGGCGACGACGGGUA
rnacentral:rRNA from 1 species